GAUGAACGCUAGCGGCGUGCUUAACACAUGCAAGUCGAGCGAGAAGUUUUGAAAAGAUUCUUCGGAUGAAAUUUAAAAUGGAAAGCGGCGGACGGGUGAGUAACGCGUAGGCAACCUGCCCCAUACAAAGGGAUAGCAUUUGGAAACGAAUAUUAAUACCUUAUGAAACUUAACUAGUGCAUGCUAGGUAGGUCAAAGAUUUAUCGGUAUGGGAUGGGCCUGCGUCUGAUUAGCUAGUUGGUGAGGUAACGGCUCACCAAGGCGACGAUCAGUAGCCGACCUGAGAGGGUGAACGGCCACAUUGGAACUGAGACACGGUCCAAACUCCUACGGGAGGCAGCAGUGGGGAAUAUUGCACAAUGGGGGAAACCCUGAUGCAGCAACGCCGCGUGAACGAUGAAGGCCUUUGGGUCGUAAAGUUCUGUUCUAGGUGAUGAAAACUGACAGUAACCUAGGAGAAAGCCCCGGCUAACUCCGUG
rnacentral:rRNA from 1 species